UCGCGGUCCAAAGCUGAUGACGCGGCGUCUCCUGAUUUGUUCAGUCUUAUUAUUAAUUAUGUUUUUAACGAAUUUACGACAGUCAUGUGUGAGUGGGCAAAAUAAUGGUGAUGGAUGCUCCUGCCGCGGCUGGAAACAACUCUGCCGUCCAUUUUGUUGUUGUUGUCAAAACCGAUCUGGUUUAUUUACGAAAGAGAGGG
rnacentral:lncRNA from 1 species